GAGAGAUCCGCCCCGCCCGCGAUUCUCCCUUGAGGCCGCCCUCUUGCUCCAGCCCUAGUUAUGAAUCUCUGAGGCCCGCGAAGAAGGCCGACCGCGAGCGACUCUCACAAUGCUACGAAAUUUGGGAGGAGUGUCUGCACAUUCCAUGCAAUUGGGUAGAGUUGGGAUGCUCUUAAACAACAUCAUAUGAUGGGACCUAGAAAGUGUUGUAGCAGCUUUCCUCUGGAACAGCAUCGCCUCAGAGAUCUUUGGCUCCUUUCCUGGUUUCAUUCAAAAGGUUUGACAAACAAACAGCAUAACAGUGCUUGUCCAACUCUUUAGGAAAUGAUAACAAAGCAGUUGUAGGUGAGGCUGGCAGAGGAUUGAAGAAGAAGUGCUGGAUGGCCAGGAAUAAUAAAGGAAUCUGUCCCUGAAGCAGAAAAUGGCAAGGAAUAUCUGCCCUUUCUUCCCCCUUCUCUUUUCGGAUAAAGAUGAUUCUCCAAAUAACAUUUAAAAAAAGAAAAAGUAAAGAAAACAUGUAAAAACUGUUUUAUUUUUAAGUAGUUGCAAAUAAAAUGUUUGUUUAUUUGUUCAAUUUCUAUAUCUGCCCAUCUUUGUAAAUGACCCUGGGCAGCUUACAAUUCAGAACAUAUAUUACAAUUAAAAAAAAUGUUUUAAAACUAUAAAACCAGUAGAAAACAUUAAAACAUCCAAUUUAAAAUAUUUGGCUCUUUAGCAAUAUAGCCAGGAAACAGCUAUAUUGGCAUAUAGCUCGGGAACAUAGUCAGGAGCAUGAAGUGGCAAAGAAGAUACAACUACACAACUGUUGCUAUCAUGAGCAAUGAUGGUAUUACCCCUCUCAAGGUGAUGCUGAUCUUUUCCUAAUAUAGAGAGAAAGUGUUUCCAAGUGCCAUAAAACACAUCCUCACAGAGCUUCUAUAAACAAUGUUAAAAUUGGGAUAAAAUAUUAGGUUUAUACACAAAAAAAAUACAAAAUAAAUUUAUGCUAAUUUUUUUCUGCUAUUUUUUAACACAUUCUUUAAGAUACCUGUUUUCUUAAAAGCAAUACCCACUGACUCAGUAAUUCCUAGUGUCUUCGGAUUCAACUUCCAUAGCUUUUGGAAAGAUGGAAUAAACCCUACUUCUCUUCUCA